GGCGGCGUGCCUAAUACAUGCAAGUUGAGCGCUGAAGGUUGGGACUUGUACCAACUGGAUGAGCAGCGAACGGUGAAGUAACGCGUGGGGAAUCUGCCUUUGAGCGGGGGACAACAUUUGGAAACGAAUGCUAAUACCGCAUAAAAACUUUAAACACAAGUUUUAAGUUUGAAAGAUGCAAUUGCAUCACUCAAAGAUGAUCCCGCGUUGUAUUAGCUAGUUGGUGAGGUAAAGGCUCACCAAGGCGAUGAUACAUAGCCGACCUGAGAGGGUGAUCGGCCACAUUGGGACUGAGACACGGCCCAAACUCCUACGGGAGGCAGCAGUAGGGAAUCUUCGGCAAUGGACGAAAGUCUGACCGAGCAACGCCGCGUGAGUGAAGAAGGUUUUCGGAUCGUAAAACUCUGUUGGUAGAGAAGAACGUUGGUGAGAGUGGAAAGCUCAUCAAGUGACGGUAACUACCCAGAAAGGGACGGCUAACUACGUGCCAGCAGCCGCGGUAAUACGUAGGUCCCGAGCGUUGUCCGGAUUUAUUGGGCGUAAAGCGAGCGCAGGUGGUUUAUUAAGUCUGGUGUAAAAGGCAGUGGCUCAACCAUUGUAUGCAUUGGAAACUGGUAGACUUGAGUGCAGGAGAGGAGAGUGGAAUUCCAUGUGUAGCGGUGAAAUGCGUAGAUAUAUGGAGGAACACCGGUGGCGAAAGCGGCUCUCUGGCCUGUAACUGACACUGAGGCUCGAAAGCGUGGGGAGCAAACAGGAUUAGAUACCCUGGUAGUCCACGCCGUAAACGAUGAGUGCUAGGCGUAGGGAGCCAUAAGUCUCNGGAUACUCCUCUAACUCAAUAA
rnacentral:rRNA from 1 species